UUAUAGGAACAAACAAUGAGUGAGUGGUGAUGUGAGACUUAUAGGAACAAACAACGAGUGAGUGACGGUGAUGUGAGACUUAUAGGAACAAACAACGAGUGAGUGACGGUGAUGUGAGUCUUAUAGGAACAAACAAUGAGUGGUGACGGUGAUGUGAGUCUUAUAGGAACAAACAAUGAGUGAGUGA